UUGACCAAAUUACGUGCCAGCAGUCGCGGUAAUACGUACAAGACUAGUGUUAUUCAUCUUUAUUAGGUUUAAAGCGUACCUUGACGGUUAAUAAAGCCCAAAAGAAAUGAAUACGGGGGACACAUUAACUAGAGUUAUAUGAAAGGAAGCUAUAAGGUACUGUUGAGUGUACAGAUGAAAUUCUGUUAUACCAGAUGAGUGGCACAGAUUAAUGCGAAGGCGUCUUCUUAUGUAAUAACUGACGUUGUAGGACGAAGGCUUAAGAAGUGAACAGGAUUAGGUACCCCAGUAAUCUAGGCAGAAAAUGAUGAAUGUCAUAGGUUGAAUACAGACAGGUUAAAUUGACUAUAGGUGGUAUAUUAAUCAGUCUAUUAUUGUGUCUAUAAAUGAAAGUGUAAGCAUUCCACCUCACGAGUAAUUUGGCAACUUUGGAACUGAAAUCAUUAGACCGUUUCUGAAACCAGUACUGAAGUAUGUUGUUUAAUUAUAUGAUACACAAGAACCUUACCACAACUAUAUUUUUUAAUAUACUUUGAAUAUAUAUAUAUAUUAUAUUUACAAGCGCUGCUCGGCUGUCUUCAG
rnacentral:rRNA from 1 species